CUGGGUAGCGUUGCCCGGUUACCGUUGCUAUGGAGGGCCUAGCGCCCCCUCGCCGCUCUCUCGCCCCGACAAAGCUUUGAUUUGCGGAGAUGAUGAAGCAAACGAUCCAGAUCUAUGCCCGGGUCAAGCCCCUCGGCAGGAGGCAGCCGCCGGGGAUAUAUUCAGUUGAACAAGAUGAAGCAUCAGCAUUCAGUUUGGAGAUUAUUGUGCCACGUGAUUUGGCAGAUGGAUUUGUCAAUAACAAACGAGAAAGCUACAAAUUUAAAUUUCAGAAAGUUUUUGAUCAGGAAUCAAAACAGGAUGAAAUUUUUGAAGCCAUUGCCAAGCCGGUUGCAGAAUGUGCUCUAGCUGGCUAUAAUGGCACCAUAUUUGCUUAUGGACAGACGGGCAGCGGCAAGACCUUUACCAUAACAGGAGGAGCAGAACGUUACAGUGAUAGGGGCAUAAUUCCACGGACACUAUCUUACAUAUUUCAGCAGUUGCAGAAGGAUAGCAGCAAAGUAUACACAACACAUAUUUCCUACUUAGAAAUUUAUAAUGAGUGCGGCUAUGAUCUGCUGGACCCGCGACAUGAAGCCUCCAAACUAGAAGAUUUGCCAAAGGUGACAAUAAUGGAAGAUCCUGAUCAGAACAUUCAUCUGAAACAUCUCUCUUUGCAGCAAGCAACCAAUGAGGAGGAAGCCCUGAACCUUCUUUUCUUAGGAGACACUAACAGGAUGAUUGCAGAGACUCCAAUGAAUCAAGCCUCCACUCGUUCACAUUGUAUUUUCACCAUUCACAUCUCAAGCAAAGAGCCAGGUUCUGCAACCAUUCGACGCUCCAAACUACAUUUAGUGGAUCUGGCUGGUUCAGAGCGUGUUGCAAAGACUGGAGUUGGAGGCCAGUUGCUGACAGAAGCCAAAUAUAUCAAUCUGUCAUUACAUUACUUGGAACAGGUAAUCAUUGCUCUGUCGGAGAAGAAUAGGUCUCAUAUUCCCUACAGGAAUUCUAUGAUGACCUCAGUGCUAAGAGACAGCCUAGGAGGGAACUGUAUGACCACAAUGAUUGCAACACUCUCAAUAGACAAAAGGAACAUAGAUGAAUCAAUAUCAACUUGUAGAUUUGCUCAGCGAGUUGCCCUUAUUAAAAAUGAAGCCAUUCUAAAUGAAGAAAUUGACCCCAGACUGAUAAUAGCACGACUAAAGAAGGAAGUUCAGGACCUAAGAAAUGAACUGGCCAUGGUGACUGGGGAACAAAGGCAAGAAGAACUGACAGAGGAAGAGCUACAACAGGUAGACGAACAGAUUAAAAGUUUUUUGGAAGAUAUGGAUCCUGAGAGCACAUUGGAGUUGGGAGCUGAUAUGCGGAAGAUCAAACACUCUUUCAACCAUUUAAAGAGAUUGGUUAAUAAUGCAAAGUUACCUAACAACCAUCUGCUUGCAUCAGACACUAAUAAUUCAAUUGGCUAUGAAGAGUUGAAGAAGUUGAAGGAUCUUCUGCAGCAACGAGACAAUGAAAUCAAUAUUUUAGUAAAUAUGUUAAAGAAGGAAAAAAAGAAAGCGCAAGAUGCUCUUCUCCAACUCAGUGCUUCUCCCAAGGAGAUCGCAACCUCAGAAAGUGAGAUGUUUUCUGUCACUUUGGAAAGUAGAUCCAGUUUACUUCACAGGAACACAGGAGUGAGAGGAGAAAUGUCACUUGGACGUAAGGAAGCCUUUGAAAUUUUCAAGAGAGAUUAUGCUGAUAGCAUAACCAUUGAAGACAAUAAGCAGCUCCUUAAGCAAAGGUUUGCUGAAGCAAAAUCUAUGGGAGAAAAAGUAAAUGAAAUAAGAAACAAAAUCAAUCAUUUGAAAGAGGAGAUAACCCAGCGGCACAUGCAGAAAGCAGCUCAAGCUGUUGUCAGUCCUCGACAAAUGAAUGAGCCUGACCCAAUAGAAGAGGCACUUCGGACACAAAUUGAACAGGAGAAGAAAAGUUACAAAACAAUGUUUACACACUUGAAAGGAAUGAAGAUAGAGAUUGAGCACUUGCAGCUACUUAUGGAAAAAGCCAAGGUGAAGUUGCAAAAAGACUUUGAAAUUUGGUGGUCUGAGGAGGCAAGAAACUUGCAGGACGAAAAGCCACUUCUGCAAAAUUCAACCAGUGUAGUAAAGAUUCCUCCCUCGCUUCUUGAAGCCCAACCACAUUCAUACGGUACCAGGGUUCCAAAUAACAGCAGAGCCAGCUUCAAUGAAGAGCAUUCUGUGAAGAGCAGUGGGAGCAGACUGAGUAACUCGCCCUCAAAAGCAAGGAUUUCACCGGUACAAAGUUCAUCUAUCUCCUUCACAGGAGACCACCAAACAGAUGCUGACAUUCUAGCUUUCAUUAGGGCCAGGCAGAAUCUCAUACAAAAGAAAGGAUUGGGAAACAAAUGAAUUUUGUCAUACAGCAAGCUGCCAUUUCAAAAUAAAAACUAGCAGUGCAGAGCUACUGCAACACCAAAUGAAUGGACCUUUGAGCUGCAGCUGAAUUUACAGGAGGCAAAAAACAUUGGUUUUGUCCAAGGAAUAACAUGACAAGAUAGAAUCCCUGGGUGAGAAGAAGACUCUGAUGAGCAAAGAUUACCAGGAAUAAUAAUCACCCCUCCAGCCUUAUGAUUCUUUAUCACACGAAGGGAAGCCAAAGAAGGGUAGUAAAUGAACACAAUUACAUACUGCUAGACCACUGAAGCUGAUUUAUUAAGAUAGUUUAUACAGUUUCAAGCCAAUGCAGUGGGCAAGUCUUCCAGAGCUUUAUUCCACUGGCCAAGUGAAGACAAGUGUUAGAGAUAUUUGGUGACUCUCUUCUGGUACCCCCACCACCCUGAGGUGGCUGUGGCCAGGACUCCCGAGAAGGCAGCCCAGAUUCUCAUGGUGUAUGAAGCUUAAUAUGACCCACUGGCAUCUGGCCAGCAGGGCCAGGAAUGGGUCUCCUGAGGUCCCUCUGGUCACUGAGAAGGAUCCACCACCACACCAGGGCCAGGUUUUGCAUGCCAUUGAGGCCCAGGAGCACAUCACUGAGGAUUCAUUUAGGCACUGGGGGCAUACGCACAGCAGUCAGGAAUGAUUCUCAAUAUUUAGCAAGCAUUUAAAUAACACUCCCUUCAAAGAAGCCCAGCUGUUUAUCAGACUAAAGCAAAACUAAAAAUUAACCGUUACUGUGAAGCCUGAAAAUAUAACACAUUGCUAUACUCUUGUUCACGUAAGGGGGGAAAAACCUAAAUUAUGUAAAUAAGGACACAUAAAUAUAAAAGCGUUUGGUCUUUUAAAGAAACAAGCAAACAUUCUGGAGGAUUGUGCCCUAUAGCAUUUUCCAUUCUGGGAGGGGAUGAUGGUGUCUGGCUUGUAUUAGAUUAGGCUUUUGAAUGCACUGUCCAUGUCACUGAUCUGUAGAUCUCAGAAAAUAAAAUGUCUUUGUUAAAUAAA